UCUUCUACGGGGCGCAGCAGUGAGGAAUAUUGGUCAAUGGGCGGGAGCCUGAACCAGCCAAGUCGCGUGAAGGAAGAAGGUACUUAGUAUUGUAAACCUCUUUUGUCAGGGAACAAAGGCGGGGACGUGUCCCCGGAUGAGUGUACCUGAAGAAAAAGCAUCGGCUAACUCCGUGCCAGCAGCCGCGGUAAUACGGAGGAUGCGAGCGUUAUCCGGAUUUAUUGGGUUUAAAGGGUGCGCAGGCGGUCUGUUAAGUCAGCGGUCAAAGCCCGGGGCUCAACCCCGGCCCGCCGUUGAAACU
rnacentral:rRNA from 1 species